GAGGGAAGUGGAAGGUUCGGUUCCGUCGCCGCGACGCGCAUGGGCGCCGCGUCCUUCCGCCCUGCGGUGGGGGCGCGGGGCAAGUUGUGGGAAGGCGGAGGUCGCGUUCCGUGCCGGGCCCGGCUUUGGGCCUGUGGAAAGGUGUUUUGAGAACGCGGGAGCCGCCGGGGCACCGUAACUGAAGGCAGACCCUGUUCUAAAGGAGCACAGUUUUGGAAGAAGAGGAAGUGUCAGGAUCAAUUUCAAACUGAUCCAUCAUGACUAUGUCGACGCACUCAGAGACCUCAAGGAAUACGGAAGCCAUCGUCUGCGACCAAUGGAACCGUGUCACCUGGUUAACACGCCUGAGCCGACGCUGGCAAAGAGGCUAGAAUUCCCAAGCUUUCCCAGGCGAGUGUGGAGAAACACCAGGACGCCUUUUUCUCCUCGCACCCCGCCCCGUCCCAUCUGCAGCCAAGCGUGCCUCGGUCAAAGGCAAACUCUGAAUCAAGCUUUGUGCUCGUCUCUGGAAGGAUACCCGGGAUCAUGUGACGGAGAAAAGUGACAGCGGCGGUGGUGGCAGUGACAUCUGUGGGGCUAGCCCCGUCCCUAUCUGCCGCGGGAUGCGUGUGGGCAUGCUUUGUGAGAAGAAUCCACCCCGGGUAGAAUGGGGCUUUUGACAUCAGCUGAGGCCUGGGCUGCCUCACAAUGAGGCCUGUUGGUCAAAGGGAGGCUGUUUAAUGAAGUGCCCGCCAGAGGCCAGCUCCGGCCAUCUGUACUGGGGACCUUCGGAGCGAGGCUUCCCUGUAACCGGCUACAUGUGCGAAAGCACGUUGCCUUUCACAGAAGGCAGCUGCGACAAUAAAUUCAUAUUCCCAAACGGUGACCUUUUGACUGCUUUUUGUGUGUGCGUGAUGAAAAGCUUCAUACCAGCUUGAUACUAAGGCUUCAUAAGCAAGGAAGCCGGAAAAAGGAGCCUUUUUUGGCCCUGAGGUCAAUAAUGAUAACGGCUUUCUCCUUACAUGAGGUAGCAACGCCCUGCCAAGGAUGCGAAAACACCGCGUGAAAAUGAAAUUCGUGAAGGCCUUUAAUGAUCAAGUGAGGGAGGCAGGUGAUGGCAACCGCCACCCCACAGCUGGCUAAACGCCGAGGUUCGGGGAGAAGGAUGACUCAUGACCAAGGUCAAAGAGCAGCUGGGCGGUGGGGCUCGCGUCGCAUCAUGUCCUCCAGCUUCUGGCACUGAGGAAAUCAUGUAAAACUUUGCGAUGACUCUUCCUGGCAGGCUCGUUCUUCCCAGCCGGAGCGCAGGUGGCAAUGUUGCGAUUCCUGGCGUAACCUUCAAUGCUUCGCUGAUAAUCUCUGUCGUCGCCAGGCACCAGCAGACUGUCACAGUGCAACUCCCAGGCUUCAGCAAUGCCCGCCGAGGUCUUCAUUGCAGCCUCUCAUUUAUUAGCUGUGUUGGAAAUAACUCUGUAAUACCUAGCUGGGUACCUCUGGAUUUUAACAGCUGUGGUUUAUAAGAGAUUUGGGGGGGGGUUGUUUUCAAAGUGCCUUUCAGAAAGUAUCACCUUAGACGGGAGUUUCCGUUCUGUUCCGGUAGGAUGACUUGCUCUUGUGCUCAGAAAACCAAGCCUGCAGGAAAAAUCAGAUAUUUUCUUACAAGACUUCUUAGCAGGCGGGCCUCUAUAUGACUUUCCCUUCUCCUCCCCUUUAUUGGCCAUAACCUUAACGGAAGGCUUUUGAUGUCAAAUGCUGAGUAUCUUGGAAGAGGUCCUGCGUAGACAAGACUGCUUGGCCAGGGGCUGGAGAGUCACAGUUGGACUGGACUUGAAGGCCCUUUCUAAUCUGAGAUGUUGUGACUCCGGAACUAAUUAGCCUCAACUUCUACAAUGAAAUGACACUAACUGCCAUUUAUUGAGCACUUUCUGUGUCAGCUCUGUGCUGAGAUCUUAACAUCAUUCUCUGAAUUCUGACAAAACCCCGCCAAUAUCAUCCACCUUUUACGAACGAAGAAACGGGAUUAGAGAGUUAAAAGCUUGUCUGGUGGCACAGAUGUGAGGUUUGGUGAGCGACUGUCCCCUGGAAAUCGAUUCCAGGUGAGUCUACAUCCAUACUCGAAACCCACAACUCAACCAGAAUGAAAGGGAGACACCAGGGAUUGCCCUGUUCACGGAUCAGUUCACGAUCUCUCGGGGCGGCUAGUGUGGAUUCGUUAGUCAGAUUCAGUGUUGCAGUUAGGGAGCAAGACCUUAAACAAGACCUAGCAGUGUCCCAGCCCACGAAGUCUCUUCUGGAGGACAGCUGGGGGAUUCCUGUCUUCCUGCCAAUCAGGGAUUUUAGCUAUAAACAGUUUGUGACAUCAAAUGUCACUUUUCUUCCACACUCGGCCCUAGAGUUUCAUUUAAAUAAUCAAAGCAUUCUUGUCAUCAAGGAGAGGCUAAUUCCAGCAAAGCAGCCUAAAGCCAUGUGAAGUGUGCACCUGCCAUCUAGCACUCAUAGUGAAAAAUACAGCAUUUUAGAAGAAUUCAGCUUUUCCAGUUUGUUUUUUAACUUUGGAAUUAAAAUGAACUCAAAAGUUAAAAAAAGGAAAAAGAGAGACCCCCUAACAUGUCAAGGUAUUGAGAUAUAAAAUAUGCACCGAGUAUUGCAAGAAAAUAUACUUCAUCUCAUUAUUAUUAUUAUUAUUAUUAUUAUUAUUAUUAUUAUUAUUUUGGAGAGCUUCUAUGCUUGAGGAACAAGACUGCUCCAUGUGCCACCUCCGAUCCAAGCCCCAACUUCUGCCAGGACCGAAGCUCCUUUGUUCAGAACCUCACCCCAUGUGUCUUUUCAUCUGGCUGCUGAUUCAGAUCCUUGAAUAAACUGCUUCGGUUGCCUGCAGUCAAUGGUGGUCAGGAAGCAGAUGACGCUCCUUCUGAGAUACAGUCAGAAGGUCAGGAGGUCAAGAGCAGCCUAACGCUGCGUCACGAUGCUUACGUCGUCCACCUCACUUCCUCUCAUCGCGUAGGGAUUUUCUCAUUUUGUGACAUCACAAGAAGGGUCACACUGUGGAUGCACAUAUGAAUGUCCCGACGAAGCAACAGUCUAGGAAGUUUCGUUACAGCUCUGAUUUUGACUCCCUGAUGAUUGUACUUCGAACGGGAAGUGAUUUCUGGCUCUGCCUUAGCUGCCUUGGAACGUCAUUCAUGAGCUGCCCUGAACACACCGCAAAGCUGCAGUUGUUUUCUUGUUUGUUUCGUCAAAGCUGCACCUGUUUUCUGUACUGAAAAUAGUGCCCCAUGGAUCUAAAGCCAAACCCAAGCCCGAGGCAGGAAAUAAACAAACCAACAAGACAACCACAAAAGACACUGUUACUCUGGUGGUGAGUUUGUGUUGUCAAUUUUUUCCAGUUAUCAGAUCUUGCAAGUUGUAUUUUCUUUUCUAGUUCAACAUGUACGUUUCACUUAAUUAUGGUGGGUAAUUACCGUCUAUUUUGCCUGUGGGCAAGUUCUUGAGCGGACAUUGUAUCUUCACUUCUCUUGAGUAUAAACCAGGAGUGGAAUGGCCAGGUCACGUGACAACCCCAUGUUUCACAUUUCAAGGAGCUGAUUGUUUUCCAGAGGGUCUCCAUCUUUUACAUUUUCACCAGCGACAUAGGAGGGUUUCAAUUUCUCCACGUCCCUGCCAACAUUUGUCAUCCAUCUUUUGUUAUAGCUUUCCAGUAGGUGUGAACUGGGGUCUAAUUUUGGUUUCAGUUUGCAUUUCCCUGAUGGCUAGUAAUGUUGACCAUCUUUUUAUGUGCUUAUUGACCACUUAUGUAUCUUCUUUUAGGAAUUUUUUUUUUCAAAAUUGUUUAAAUUGGCUUGCCUCUUUAUUAUUAAGUUUUAAGAGUUUUUUUAUGUGUUCCGUAAACAAGUCUCUUAUUUAAUAUAUGAUAUGCAAAAUGGGUCAGGAAGUGUUUCUUUGUUUCUUCUUCUAUGUUUUUGGAAACGCUUGUACUUUGUAACACUUUGACUUUGGAAUGCUUUGGAACUGGUACCAGUUCUUCAAAUAUGUGACAGAAUUCAUCCGUGAAGCCACUUGGUCCCAGGCUUUUUAUUGUGGGAAGUGUUUUUGACUACUAAUUCAAUCUCUUUACUGAUUAUGGGUCUAUUAGAUUUUCUAUUUCUUUUGGGUCUUUUGGUAGUCUGUAGGUCUCCUACAAUGUGUCCAUUUCAUGUAUGUUGUCUGAUUUGUUGGCAGGCAGUUGUCCAUAGUAUACCUUUUUUUUUUUUUAAGCUUAUUUAUUUAUUUUGAGAAAGAGAGACUGUGUGAGUGUGAGUGGGGGAGGGGCAGAGAG